CGUCCAGCUACUAUUGAUUGACAUGUUUGCCGUCCAAUCAGGUGUUUACAUGUGCGCAUACCGCCUGUCGUAUUAGCGACAUCUCUUAGACGGAGUUGCUUUCUUUGACUUUGCUGUUUUGCUAUUUUCACAGAAAGUGGAGUAAAAAUGGUGAAGAUUUUCAUUGGGAAUCUUUCUCAGAACACUGAGAAGGAUGACAUUGAAUCCCUCUUUGCAAAGUACGGCACUGUGACCGAAUGUGCCAAGUACAAAAAUUAUGCAUUCGUCCACAUGGAAGACCGCAAAUCUGCGACCAAAGCCAUUCGUGAGCUCCAUCUCCAUAAGCUGGAUGGCAGACCGAUCAAUGUGGAGCCCAGCAGAGGGAAGAACCAGGCUCCGGUCAAGCUCCAUAUAGCCAACGUUGAGAAGGGCUACGACAACGAGCUGCGAGAGCUGUUUGAGGAGUACGGCACAGUCAGUGAGUGUUCGAUUGUUAAGAACUUUGCCUUUGUGCACAUGCCCAAUCACGACGAGGCCAUGGAUGCUCUGCAGGGCUUGGACAACAUUGAGUUCAAGGGAAAGCGCAUUCACGUUCAGGUAUCAAAAAGCAGACCAAGGGGGGGUUAUGAGGAGGAAGAAUAUCCGCCUCCAGGUAGAGGAGGCUAUUAUAUGCCUCCCUAUCCAGCACCAAGACACGAUCCCCCGUACAGAAGUCGCAUGUCUGCGUAUUCUCCUCCUCCUCCCCUUCCGCCGCCACCCCCUCCACCGAGACGAGCUCCCUUUGCCGACCGUGGCUAUGGGGACAGAGCUUCCUAUCCGGGGUUGGAUUACUAUGAAAAGUACAGACCCCGUUACGCCUCUGUGAGCUACGAUGACAGGAGUGCCAUUCCCCCUCCUCCGCCACCUAUGCCUACUCUGGCUAGACCGCGUGUCGGAGUCCGGUCUCUUGACCCGUAUGAGCGGCAGCCUCUCCCUGCUCCUUCACCGUAUACAGUCAGGGACCGGAGUCCAAUCAGAAGGGUGCUGAUUCCGACUACGCCUUCCACUGGUAAUGGGUACUCCUAUGAGCGUUCUCGGCUGUCUCCAGUGUCCAGGGCUCCUGCGUACGCAGCUCCUCGGCCCAGGGCUGUGUUGUCGGAGAGAGUGCCUCCCCCGCCGCCGCCAUCAUCUCGCUUCCCAGGUUAUUAAAAAGAGAGCGCAACACAAGGUUGUUAAACUAGAAACAGGAGGAGCCCGCUGGUCAUUUCUCUUCAGAAGAUGCCUAAGAAACCAGGCUUGUCUCCGUGGAUGGGAAGUAAAGGAUCUUAUGGGCUGUUAAGAAAACACAAUCGUCUUUAUGAAAAGUGCAGAACUACAUCCAGAAAAGCUAGAGAGAGUCGGUGACCUCCCAAGAUGCCCAGAGACUCUAACCGCAGUCUGAUGAUGAGGCUGAGAUUGGUGGAUGACGAGCCUGGCCUGAACAAGAAGAUGCCUGAAAGACCAGGCUAAACACAGAAGUACAGCACUCACGCUGAUGCCACGGCUGUCAGACAUGUUACUGGUUAAGUCAUUUUCUGAAGAGAAGGCAGCACCACAUGGCCAAUCUCGCCUCUCUAACAGCAGAAGGGCGGUCCAGAGAAAAGUGCCACACAGCAGUCCUCUUUCAGAGGUUUUAGCUCAUGGAAAGCUUUCAAUGACUAUUUUUAAAAAGUUAUCAACACAAGUAACAGAUAAAUUAAUUCAGAACAAAGUUACCUCACACAAAGAUGGAAAUUAAAGAGAAAGGGGGGAGAGUUCACAAAAAUAAGCAAAGCGUGUACAAGAAUCAGCUUCUAGAUCUGCAGAAAGGGAGAGAGAAAAAUGGGGCGCACACAAAUACAGAACCAGAAUAUCACUAAGCAGGCUUAAAUGUUGUAAUCAGGGAUGUCCAGAUCCAAUCACGUGAUGGAAAAUCUGUCCCAGUCACGUGGUUUCAGACUCGAUUGGAGCUAGUGUUACUUCCCGAUCCGGACUCGGAUGAAGGGUUCAAAUUACAGGAGAGCUAUGGGAACCCCGUUCUCCUGAGAGGUUGCUCCCCUGAAACACACCAGAGGGAGUCCAAAAAAAGAUCCAGUUUCUACCUACAUUACAUUAUUUAUAUGGACUCGCAGCGCAGCGGGGAUUCUUUUGAGCGGAGGUGCAGAGUGCUGAUUAUUCUUGCGCUCCAGGCAGCUGUGCCCUGCAGAACAUUCUCAAAGGGGUGUCACCCAAAAAAUAUGUAAUUAGCACGCGGUCAAUCUUGUCCGUUCAUACUCUGGUAAUUUUGGUCUUUUAUUCGUGCCUGACCCACUCUGCCGCUGCAGCGCUCAUAACCCCUGGUCUGGUGACUCCGUCGCUGGGCAGCGCAGAGCAUGCUAGGCUAUUUUUGUGGUCAGUAGAUUCAUUUGAUCUGCUUGGUAAAAAUGUUUGUUCAUGUUUAUGUAUUUAGCAGACGCUUUUGUCCAAAGCGACUUACAAGUGAUAAUCGGCAUAUUGCCCUUGAGGCUAACAACAACAACUUGACAUCAGUCAUGGAGAGGAGGGAACAAGGAGUGGACAGUAGAGAGGGGGGACGGGUGCAGGGAGGGUGCUAGUUUAGAAGAUGCUCUCUGAAGAGCAGGGUCUUCAGGAGUUUCUUGAAAGUCAAAAAGGAAGCCCCUGUUCUGGUAGUGCUUGGAAGGUCAUUCCACAUUUGUGGAACGAUGCAUGAGAAGAGUCUGGAUUGUCCUGAGCGUGGUGUAGGCACUGCUAGCCGACCAUCCUGUGAUGACCGGAGCGGCCGGGCCGAGACGUAAGCCUUUGCAAGAGGAUUCAGGUAGAUGGGAGCCGUACCGUCUUGGACUUUGUAUGCUAGUGUUAGCUAUUUGAACUUGAUGCGUGCUGCUAGCGGUAGCCAGUAGAGCUCAAUGAACAGAGGGGUGACGUGUGCUCUUUUUGGCUGAUUGAAGACCAGACGCACCGCUGCGUUCUGGACCAUUUGAAGAGGUCUCACAGUACAGCCUGGAAGACCAGUUAGAAGGGCAUUGCAGUAAUCGAGGCGGGAGAUGACAGUAGAUUGCACCAGGAGCUGGGUGGCAUGUUGUGUUAGGCAUGGUCUGAUCUUUCGUAUGUUAUACAGCACAAAGCGGCAUGAACGAGCAACAGAGGCAACAUGAUCUUAAAAGGCCAGGUGUUCAUCAAUCACAACACCCAGAUUUCAAACUGCCUUUGAAGGAGCCAGAGAUAGGAAGUCAUUUUGGAUUGAGAUAUUGUGCUGUAAGGAUGGUUUUGCUGGGAUGACAAGUAGAUCAGUUUUAGAGAGGUUGAGUUGGAGAUGGUGGGAUUUCAUCCAUUUUGAUAUGUCAGAGAGACAGUUUGAUAUUCGUGCAGAGACAGUGUGGUCGUCCGGUGGAAAUGACAGAUAGAGCUGGGUGUCGUCUGCAUAGCAGUGGUAGGAGAAGCCAUGUGAUCGAAUGAUCUCACCCAGGGAGGUGGUGUAUAUGGCGAAGAGAAGAAGUCCUAGUACAGAGCCCUGGGGGACUCCCGUGGCGAGAUGGUGCACGGUAGAGGAUUGUCCAAGCCAAUAUACACUGAAUGAUCGUCCUGUGAGGUUCAAUUCAAACCAGGCGUGUGCUUUCUCUGUGAUGCCCAUGCUAGAGUGUGUGGACAAAAGAAAGCCAUGGUUGACAGUGUCGUAUGCAGCCGAUAAGUCGAGCAGGAUAAGCACGGAGGAUUUGGCAGUUGCUCUAGCUUCUUUUAAGGAUCCCGUCACUGCUAACAGAGCAGUUUCAGUGGAGUGGCCCUUUUUGAACCCAGAUUGGUAAGGGUCAAGCAGACAGUUUUGUGAGAGGUAUUCUGUGAUCUGCUUGAAAGCCACCCUUUCAAUGAUUUUGGACAGAAAAGGGAGGAGAGAGAUAGGUCGGUAGUUCUCCACAUGAUUUGGAUGAAGAGAUGUUUUUUUUAGCAGCGGUUUAACCUGAACAUGCUUGAGAGAGGUGGGAAAUGUACCAGAAGUCAGUGAAGCGUUGAUCACCUGUGUGACUGCUGCGGCGACUGUAGGAGCAACGGCUUAGUCGGAAUGGGGUCGAGUGGGCAUGUAGUAGGGCGGCUGCACGUGAGAAGCGUGGACACAGUUCUCAGUGACAGGAGAAAAAGAGGAAAAUGAAGCAGUAGGGCCUGAGAUGGUUGGGAUAGAAGGAGUUUGUGGUAGCGAAUGUUCAGGAGUGGCCAGUUGAGUAAACUGUUUGCUUAUAGCCGCUACUUUGUCAGUGAAGAAUGAGGCAAAGGUGUCAGCUGAUAGAUUGGAGGUAGGAGGUGGAGAUGGAGGGCUGAGCAGAGUUUUGAAUGUUGAAAAUAGUUUCUGAGAGUCAGUAGAGCUGAGACUUUUGUCAGUGUAGAAAGCUUACUUUGCAUCAGUGAUGCUGGCAGAGAAUGAGGACAGUAAUUCCUGAAAUUUCAAUUGAUCACCAGGAUCUUUUGUUUUGCGCCAUUUGCGUUCCGCAGCUCUAAGACUGGUGCGUAGAGACCGGAGGGUGUCAUUUAGCCAAGGGUACGGCUGAGAGGAUCUAGCAGGUCUAGUGGCUAAAGGACACAAGUUAAGACAAGAGCAGAGUGUGGAGCAGAGUGACUCGGUGGCAUCGUUCACUUCAUGAGCAGAGAAUGUGCUGGGAGAUGGAAGAGUGGAGGCAACAAGAGAGGAGAAGUGGUUGGGUGCCAGAUUGCGGAGGUUGCGGCAGAAUGAGACCAUUGGGGAGGAAGCAGUGGACGUCCCUUGUAGAGUCGAGCUGAAACCGAUGAGUUAAUGAUCGGAAAGAUGCAGCGGUUGACAGAGAUUGUGUCUAUGGCACAGUUUCUGGUGAAAAUGAGGUCAAGUGAUUUUCCAGCUUUGUGAGUUGGAGGUCUUUGUUCUAGUGUUAAAUCAAAUGAUGACAUUAGUGACAGGAAGCCUGAUGAGCUGGGAUUGUCCAGGUGAAUAUUCAUGUCUCCAAUGACCAUUGUGGGACAGUCGUGCUCAGGAAUGGAGGAGAGCAGGGUGUCAAGUUCAUCAAGAAAGUCUCCGAGUUUACCUGGUUGGCGAUAUAUGACAGCCAAAAACAAUUUUUUCGGUACAGUUACCUGGAUGGCAUGGUAUUCAAAGGAGUUGUAUUUAGUGAUGGUAGCAACUGACUGUAUUUCCAUUUGUUGGAAACUAACAUGCCCGUUCCACCACCUCGGCCAGAUGCACGAGAAGUGUGGUUAAUUGAGAGAGCGGAUGCGGUAGCAUUGUCACAUGGUUUGAUCCAGGACUCAAAAAUAAAAAUAAACAAUAAUGAACAAGAGUCUGCUUCUAGACCUGCAGAAAGAGAGAAGAAAAAAAAGGGACUCAACAACAAUACAACAAGAUCAAGCUAUCACUGCAUCAACUUGAUGAAGAAAUAUGUAAUCAACAUUGUUUAACUGAAGAAUCACGAUAAUAAAUCACAGUGCAUUUAGUGCCCACCAUAGUCUUAAGACGUGUUGAACGUGCCAAAGCCCAUACUUAUGAGAGCACCAUGUGAGCACCUGUGUGUGUACACGCGCUUGUUUAUGUAAGGUUUCUCUAUAGGAGCGUCCACUAGAGAGUGUGAGGGACCACAGAUCUGCCCUCUAAAGAUGUGUUGGAGACGGAAGGAGCUCCAAGUCCCAGAGAUCCAGGAGCUGCCCCAGAGCACAGGAACCCCAGGGAGACUGACCAGAAAAGCCCCUGCCUCCUUGAGAGUCACAGAGGAUGGCCCCGGGGGGCCACAGCCGGCAGAGUCCCGGGAGAUAUCGGCGGCAAGCCCACAGGCCCGCCAGCAGCCUCCCAUCCCCUAGCCGGCCAAGCUCGGGACCUAGGGGCGACCACCCCCGCCAGGGACCCAGCAGAGCCCAGGGACCCAGAUCCCAGCAGGCAGCCACUGGGAAUGGUCAGGCAGAUUCCAAAAAUCUUAAACUCCCUGACCUGGGAGCCACAACCCAGGCAGACCAAGGCACCACACUCCACACCAGGUGUGGCAGGGGGAGGGUAGGCGAAGAUGUGUAGUAGCACAAGAAGUCCCAGGAGAGGGGAGGAGUCCAAGACCCCACCUGACACAUACAGUCAUACACAAACACAGUCACACACUCCCUCCCUCAUGCUCACACAUACACAUACAACCAAAGACUUACAAAAAUUCACGCUGGACACCCACUCAUGCUCCCCAUACACACCCUAUUCACUCUGGUCCCGGUACUGCUGCACAUGGGGUACAACCAUUACCGGUUCCCAGAGUUCAACCCUUUCUGCUGGGGUGCUGAUGAGCAGGCUCCCCCGCCCAAUGCUGAGCACAGCAACUCACCACCCCAGACCCCAACCGGACGGCCAGAUCUCCCUCCUAGCCUCCAGCCCCGGGAAGCCAAGCGACAACAGAGGUGUGCCAAGACCCCUAGUCUCCCUCCGCCUGGUGUUAGUGCGUGUUGAUGAGGUGUAUUCCAUGGCUGUGGUGAGCGGGCAGUGCGGGAAUCGUCUGGCCUAUGCCAGCUGAUGCCACCGCACCACCCCACUUGCACCCAUAGCCCUCAGUGUCUAAGUGCAGUUUUAAAUUGGAAGUGGGCACCGACACUUGGGAUGAGGCUGAGAAAUCCCCCUGCCAAAUGCCGUUGAAUGUGCUCACUCCCAAGGCCCUAAGUGUGUGUUUGCGUGGAAUGUCGUUGGUGGAAGUGUUUUAGGGUGCAAAUAAAAUUGGGGGGCAGGUUGCCACAGGAAUGCGGAAAUGGGAUCCAUACCCGCACUCCCUUACUUGUCCACCCCCCAAGGUCCUAUGUGCAUGUUUGUGUGAUAAUGUAGGGAGCAGGAGGAGAGAAAUGUGUGGGGAUGGGGAGGAAUGGCUGGUUGGGCUUAGCCCUCCAGAGAGCCAGCUCCCCCACUGGGCCCAAUAGGCACCUCUGUUGUCAAAAUACCACCCAGGGCAUGGAGACCCCAGUCCAUCCUGCCAGGGCCCAAAGCAGCAGCAUUACAGGGCCUCACGGAGUCCGAGGGCACCAACCCAGCCCCACCCCAGCAGAAUAUCUACGCCCAUCCCUUCAUUUGCACAACUUCUGGAUUAUAUAAGACAUUGAACAUCCAGGUAAGGUUGGGUCCUCCCCCUCCUGGACUUCCCCCUCCCCUGUGAUGGAACAGCAGAGCAGCCAAGGUCUACCCGAGGCCCCUGAACCCGAGUCAGGCACUGCUGCCUGUUCCUGCCUUCUUCCUGGCAGCAUACAUGUCAGGACCCGACCCCCAAGGCCCCGCCCAGAUCCCCCCCCAGGGCCGGCCACCCCCAGGCCCCCACCCAGACCCACCCAGGGGCAAUGCAGCUGCCGGGCAGUGACCCAUUGCCACCGCCAAGACCUCCAAGGGGCCCCACUCACAACUGCCAGUAGCCCCCCCCCCCCGAGGCAACCCAAGCACCUCCAGAGAGGGGCAAUGGCCCCCCAGUCCCAGACACCCCCAGUGAACCCACCACCAGGGAACAUCCAGAUACUCCAAACUCAGACCCUCCACCCCCUCACCCGGAUCACAAUCCCGCAGGACAAUAUCAAUGGUCCCCCGUCAUCGCUGUGUGAUGGAACCGAUCAAAGGAGCCCAGAGAGAUUGAUUUGAAGUGGAAGCAGAGGCCAUAUCAAGUGUUAUAUGGUCUAACAAAAUAUUUCUAUACUGGUUAAUGUAGAGACUUUCUCUAUUUUUCCAAUUUGAGAGGAUAGUUUUCUUAGCGAUGCAUAUGGCAGUCAGAACCACGUGAACCAAAGAUGUUGCAAUCGGGACAUCGUCCAGGUUUCCCAGUAGACAAAGAGAGGGGGAAGUUGGGAUAUGACAUUUCAGACACUUUGACAGGUCUUCACAUACUCUACCCCAAAAUUCCUGGACAGGUGGACAGGACCACAGUGCAUGAAUGUAAUUGUCAGGAACGUUGUUUGUGCAGUGUGUACAGGUGUCAGACGACACAAACCCCAUCCUGAACAUCCGAUGACCUGUAUAGUGUACUCUGUGUAGAAUUUUGUACUGAAUUAAUUGUAAAUUGGAGUGUCUGAUCAUUUUAAAAGUUUUUAAACAAGUUUGAGACCAGAAGUCCUGGUCAAAGCUAACUGAUAGAUCCACCUCCCAUUUUUCAAUAGGGAUUGCUAUUCUAUCGUCUAUUUUGGACAGUGUCUUAUAUACUUUAGACAGUAGUUUGGGGGUUUGAGAUUAUAGAAGUCUAAUACCCUUGGUGGUGUUUUUAAUUCUACUUUAUUGAGCUUAAAAUUUUCUUUGCCUACAGAUUUAAUUUGGUGGUAUUCUUAAAACAGGGUAUCCACGGGUCCUUAAAAAGUCUUAAAAAGUCUUAAAUUUGCUUUUUCAAAUUUAAGGCCUUAAAAAUCCUUAAAAAUGACAAAUAAUCCUUAAAUACAGUUUCCAAAGGUCCUAUUUAUAAAAAAUUUCAUAAAUUUCUAGUUAGUGUUCAGCAUUUUUUGUGUAUGAUGUUGGCGUAAGUGGAACCGUACACAUUCAGUUGGUUGUGAAAGGGGCCUAUUUUAAAUGAGCACAUUAGCUGGUUAAGCUAGUGGGAGCUUGCGCCAUGGGCAUGUGAAAGUUUAAUGGUAACUGGAUAGCUUAUCCCACGUUGGCAACAUGGUUAGCACCGGUUCCAGGCGAUAGCUGGAAAUUAUAGCUUAAAGUAAAAAAAAUUGCUUAAAUUUGGUCAAAAUGGCCUUAAAAAGUCUUAAAUUUGGCUCCCUUAAACCUGCAGAUACCCUGUAAAAAGCUAUUCUUAUCUAUUCCAAAUUGGGAGACUAUUCUAUUAAAUGGGAUGAAGUCACAAAGUCGUUUAUAUUGUCAUUUCUACCACAUGUGCAGGACAUACAGAGAAACGAAAUUGAGUUUCAGUGCACACAAUUCAGAGAUCAGACAUACAAGGGUAAGACGCAUGACAAGAAUUGGUGACUGCGGUCAUUCGCAACAUGAGUCGCGCUACCUUAAUAGAUAGAUGAAAAGGGAGUUACAUGAGGAUAAUUGGGGGUAAGGUAAAAAUAAGGCAUAGCAGAGUUAGACCCAGCGGGGAGUAACAUACAAAAAAAACUUGACAUAGAAGCACAAACGGCACAAAUACAACAUCAGAGACCGAUGGGGAGGCAGGGUUGGGCGGGAUCCUGAAGCCUCCAAUGGGAGCUGCCGGUACGGCGCAUCAACCAGCUGCAGACCAACAUAUAUGUGUUCCAGGUAUAGGAUUCCUUUAUUUUUCCAGUCCGGAAGGUUCAUCAUUUUAUUCUUUUGCAAAAUGUCAGGAUUGUUCCAGAUAGGUGUGCGUCUGCAUGGUACUAGUGAAGACUCUGUCAUUUUAAGAUACUCCUACCAUGCUUUCAGAGAGGUGCUGAUACUAAUACUUUUGAAGCCUUCAUGUUUUCUUAUGCUUGAGCUAAUAAAUGGUAAGUCUGAAAGCUC